UUGCUGUGUUUAUAAAUCUCAGGGGGUGGGGGAUAUUAAUUCUAGGGAAGAGAUUCUGCAGUGAGGAAAUUGUGUGCAGAUGCAGAUGAAAUCAAAUUGUAAUCCUUUGGGAAAAUCUGAUGUGUAAGUGCUCCCUGUUCUGGAUGUGCCAAUUCAAUGGCAUACACACUUUUUGUAUAUAAUGUAAUGCAAGAAUAAGAAACUUAAGACACAUUUAAAGAGGGAAAGAAGGGUGGAGCUCCUUGGCAACAGCCCUAAUCCCUUUGAAGGCUCUGGCAUCUGCUGAGUCAGGCACUCCCUCCCUAUGUUUCAGUUUACAAUCAGCCACUGAGUCACAGCAAGUUCCUGACUUCCCUGUUGGAACUACACUGUCAUGAACUACAGUUGCAUAUUUUUAGGGAUUGGAUACUUUUAUUUAAUCUCUUUGUUUUUGUUGUUGUUGCUCAAUUAUAAAUAAACAAAUUUUGAAUAAAUAAAUUAAAAGGGGAAAAAAAAGAGUUCUGAGCUCUCAGCUCUGAGUACAGCUGCAAGAGGCUUGUUCUCAUAAAUGCUGUCCUCGAGCCACAAAGCACACUUCAUUCUUUGGGAAGUCCUUGGAGCUGGAGAAGCAUUUUGGAGAGCAGCCAUGGGAUCCUCACAUGAAGCAUCUGGAGCAGAAAGUCUCAGCACUGGUUGAAAGAACGCACGUGUUUUGUACCACUGAAUUUCACGUUGCUGCUCUCCUGCCAGUGCUCUGGAUCAUCCCUGCAUGCCUCUGCUCCAAUAUCCCAGUCCCAGCCUGGAUGCUGAUACUGCCCACGAAAUGUCAGUGUCUGACCCCACUGGCAGACUAGUGAACAUAUAGCUGUACACACAGGUGUACACAAAGUUGUUUCUUGAAUCUAUCUGCUCCUGAGAUAAAUUUUAAAUAACUAACCAACUAACCAGAAAAAAAAAUAAAAAACACAAACAAAAAAACCA
rnacentral:lncRNA from 1 species